UGAUUUCCAAUUGAAUUGCUGGUGUUCAAGCCCAACCUCUUGCUUACAUUACUGUAUAGCCUCUGGAGGUGAGAACUUCCAGAAUGGUUGAACUCUGAUGAGAAUACUGUGAGUUGUAGCCUCCCACCUCCCACUCAAAAUCUGAAAGGCACCAUGUUGGAGAAGGCUGAAGAUAAAUGUUCGCUUCAACCUCAGGCUAAUCCAAAAUGACCAUAGAGGACAGAGUCAUAACUGGAUGGCAAGGAUGUGUGAGUAACAACAACCUCAAACAACCAAGUGGAGUUGGCAGAUCCCAUGCCGAUUAAGCCAUCAUAAGCAUUGCCACUGAGGCACCAUAGUGAGUCUAGAUGGAGAUCUUUCGGAAUCCAACCAUCAACAUUCUCACGACAUGCUCCAGCCAACGUAGACGUCGCUGUUUCAAUAGUGUAUACAUGCUAGAAAUUCCAGCAUUUUCCAAGACUGCGCUAUUUGGAACUUUAUCCUGCCAGGUGAUGCUAAGAAUUCGUCGGAGGCAGCGCAUAUGAAAGGUGUUCAACUUUCUCUCCUGCCAUGCGUAGAGGAUCCAAGACUCACUGCAGUACAAGAGUGUGCUUAGGACGCAGGCUCUAUAGAACUGGAUCUUUGUAUGUCAUUAAAUGCAGUCAUUAAAUUAAUCUGGCUUCCCCCAUGGACGUUGCUUUUUAGAAGUUAGCUAGAAAAGUUACAAAUGAUGAUCACAUGAUCCUGACCAGUACAAUUAUCAUAAAUAAAUGCCAGUUGCCAAGUGCCCAAAUUUUGAUGAUGUGACCAUGGGGAUGCUGCAAUGGUUGUAAGUGUGAAAACUGGUCAUAGGUCACGUUUUUCAAUUUGAACUGUCAGUUGACAGUUGUUUGAACUGUCACUAAACAAAUGAUUGUAAGCCGAAGACUACCUGUAAUAACAAAUGGAAAGCAUCCUCAGGUUGUUCCAGAAAUCAGCUCAAGGCUGUAUUUUGUAUCUUGGGAAGGGAGUUAAAAUUUGUUAAAGGUGAUGGCAAAUGGAUUAAAUAGCAUUGUUAGGGAAAGAUCAGGGAUGAAAUCAAGCAGGUUCUGAUAGGUUCUGGAGAACCGAUAGUGGAAAUUUUGAGUAGUUCGGAGAACCGGUAGCGGAAAUUUUGAAUAGGAAAUUUGAAUAGUUCAGAGAACCUGCAAAUACCACCUCUGGCUGGUCCCAGAGUGGAGUGGGAAUGGUGAUUUUGCAAUAUCCUUUCCCCAAGAAUGGGGAGGGAAUGGGGAUUUUGCAGUAACCUUCCCCUGCCACCCACCAAACCACGCCCACCAAGCCACACCCACAGAACCAGUAGUAAAAAAUUUGGAUUUCACCACUGGGAAAGAUGUACUGAUGUAAGAUUCUCAGUCAUCCACAUAACAUUGAA